rnacentral:rRNA from 1 species
UACGUAGGGUGCAAGCGUUAAUCGGAAUUACUGGGCGUAAAGCGUGCGCAGGCGGCUUUGCAAGACAGAUGUGAAAUCCCCGGGCUUAACCUGGGAACUGCAUUUGUGACUGCAUGGCUAGAGUUCGGCAGAGGGGGAUGGAAUUCCGCGUGUAGCAGUGAAAUGCGUAGAUAUGCGGAGGAACACCGAUGGCGAAGGCAAUCCCCUGGGCCUGCACUGACGCUCAUGCACGAAAGCGUGGGGAGCAAACAGG